rnacentral:rRNA from 1 species
UACGUAGGGUGCAAGCGUUAAUCGGAAUUACUGGGCGUAAAGCGUGCACAGGCGGUUUUGUAAGUUUGUCGUGAAAGCCCCGGGCUCAACCUGGGAAUUGCGAUGAAGACUGCAAGGCUUGAAUCUGGCAGAGGGGGGUAGAAUUCCACGUGUAGCAGUGAAAUGCGUAGAGAUGUGGAGGAACACCGAUGGCGAAGGCAGCCCCCUGGGUCAAGAUUGACGCUCAUGCACGAAAGCGUGGGGAGCAAACAGGG